UGUCAUAUUCCAACUUUAUUCAAUGCAUAAAGAUUGUGUAUGACACAUGUCGUUUUAAUCGUCCUCUAAAGAAAUCCCUAUCUUGUCUAUGAAUUCCGGUGUUAAUAUUUGGUAUUU